GGGGGUGUAGCUCAGUUGGGAGAGCACCUGCCUUGCACGCAGGAAGUCAUCGGUUCGAGUCCGUUCACCUCCACCA
rnacentral:tRNA from 2 species